rnacentral:misc_RNA from 1 species
UAAUGGGGUGUCUGUGUAAUGAGAUUGAGAACCACAUUAUCAAAAUGCAUUUUGUUAUAUGAUGAAAUAUGUAACUUUUGCUAAGUUUUGCAAGUGACAAUCAUGAAGUUUGUCACGAAAUACAUUUUGACGAAUUUGAACAUAAGGGCCUUUUAAUGGCAUAGCUUAAGUGACCACUAUUGGCGGCCAAACCAAAUGGUCCAGAUUUUUAGGAUGGA